ACUGGGCAAAGCAGCAUCAAAAGUCACUUCUGAGCAUGCUCCGCCCAGUUCCAAAAUGGCGGCAGCGCUACUUCCGGUCUGCUACUUCCGCCCGGUCCCUUAUUUCUCCGACAGCAACUUGGAGAGGUAUGCAGUGAAAGGUAUCCAGUUAAUCUGUCACAAAUUUCUUUUACACGCAUUUGUACUUCAAGCAUCACACUGAACACAACCUAUCACCUUGCAUUCCUAUAAUCUUACAUUCCCAGUAAUAAGCUUUUAUAAACAUUUCUGAUAUAUUGGAGCAUUCUCUAAAAUAACUGGGCACUGUCAAUUGUUGUUGAGAUCUGGAAAGAUCUUACAGUUCAGUGUCAGUACAAUACCAUUUUAUUUUUGUGUUGAAAACCACCAUUGCAUCUUUGAACACUGCAAGGCUUUAACAAACUGUCCAGCAGCUAAACCCCAUUGAUUGACAUGUAUUUGCCCUCUUCUUACUGCAAUUAGUUGCAGCAUUUUAUUUUUAUUUAUCUAUUUAUUUUUAUUGAAGACUGAAGGGAAAGUAAUGGAUUAAAAGCUGUGAUGAAUAGAAAAGUUAAUCCCUGAUUGUUUUCAUCCAGUCUACAGCUGUCUGCAAGUAAAUGAGCACAGAAGGUUUAGAAAGCAUUUGCUAUACGGCUUUUACUAUGGCUUCUAUAGGAUGGAGAUACAAAAAACCAGCAAUAAUAUAUAUAGGAAUCUUGAAGGUCUCUUUAAAUACAGCUAUGCACAUAUUAAAUAUGCUGCGAACUGAGAAUCCUUUGACUUGGAUAACCUAUUUUUAAAUCUUUUUAUUUUGUUUUGCCUUGGCUCUUUGUGGUGAGAUGAAUUAUCAGAUGGAUUAAAUGACAUGGGUUGUUCUUCCUCAAGUGAACAAGGUUUGUUUUAUCAUUUACCUUCUCCUUCAGCAGCUCUGAAGAUAGAAACAAGAGGGGUUUUAUUUUUAAAUAUGAAACACAUUGAGGUGGUGAUGUGUGAGUUUGGGGUAGUUGAUUAGCAGACUAACUAAUACUUGGAUACUGUUGCUAGGCUUCAAGUCAGAGUUCUUGUAUUCCUCUAUAAUUAUGCAGAGAUGUGUAUAUGUGAUGGUUUGUGGGUGUUUUCAAGCAUAUAUUUUUUGUAAUUUAAUUUUUUUCUGUGUGUGUAGAAACCAAAUGGCUGCUGAGCUUAUUCUGUAUGUUGUGUGCUUUUGGUAUGGCAUUUGCUUUGGAAUAAAGAAAAGCAUGUUGGUUUUCCAGAAAUCAGGACAGUCGACAUGCUGCAUAAAAUGAAAAAUGCAUUUUGUUUAUAUUUUGAACAAAUAGGAAAUGAUGUCGUUUAUGUCUGUUUGCUUUUCAAGCAGUUAUUCUGAAACUGGUGUGAUUGAGGUCAAUAUUGUUGAUUCCUGAGCAAGAAUUUAAAUUAACUGCCAUCUGGUUUAAUUCUACCAUUUAUUUCUGGCUUUUAAAAAAGAACUGUUCAGCAUUGAGGUUUUUUCUUUAAUAAAUCAGAUUCUUGCAGAGUGUUUUAUAUAUUUCAGUAUAAAAAGCAAUCAGGUUUAAGCAAACAAAAACCACAAACACUAUAGGAACAUUAAAUAAAAAGGGAAUAUAAAUCCCUGACACAGUGAGCAGCAUGUGUGAGUGGCUCUAUUUUUAUCUUGCCUUGCUUAAUAGAACUAAAAAGGGGAGCAAGAACAAGCAUGUAUUGUAGCCAUGUUCAUUCACCAUUUCAGUUAUGAGUAAUCUUAACCUUUGUUCAUAUUCUACAAAGAAUUUCUCAUGUAAAGUGCAUUUUUAAAAUAAUACUAACCAGAAUAAUAGUCCUGAAAUCUUCAUGGUUUUAUGUUUAGUGCAAGAUGUUAUGAAUCUAAAAAGUUGUCAGUUUUGUCAUAUGUGGUUCUUUAAGGAUACUCUUUUCCAACUUCUAUUUUGAGCCCAGGAAUACCUACCCCCCCCCAAAGUAACAUCCAUAGGCAAGCACCACUUCAAUAUUUAAAAUCAGUUCUAUGUAUUUCAAUAGAGUACACUAAUGUUUCCAGUUACGCAUCAAUAUAAUUAUAAAUGCCAUGCAAUUUAUUUAGCAUGUCAAAACAUACAUGUUAGGUAGCCAAGCUGGAAAUUAGAUAUUUGUUCUUAUUUUGCAUAGUAACAUUCAGGAUUUGAGAAAGGUGCCAAAGUUCUUCUGCGUUGUUCAUAAAACAAAUACCGAGCUCUCCAUGUCCUGUAUCAUUUAUGCUUUGUUUAUUAUAUUUUGAUCCUUCCCCUCUUUUGAGCAGCUCAGGGUGGUGUUCAUGCUCCUCUCACAUUUUAUCUUCCCAAAAUAAUCCUUUGAGGUAGGUUAGUAACUGUGAGAGACUGAUCCAAAACCAUCCAGUACGGAGGGAUUUUAAAGUGGGUCUUUCUGGUCUGUCACCAAACCUUUCUGACUAUCCUGUUUUACAACAAUUCAUCUCUAUGAAUUAAGUCUUUACCUUUUUGGCACUUGAGGCAAACCACAAAAUGCCCCCUACUUUGGCCAGAGAAGACGGGGUGACUGAAGAUUUAUAUCAGGAACAAGGGCAGGGGAGUCAAAUCAAUCUUACCUGACAGUUGAAGUGGGACUCAAAAGAUAAUUGCAGAAGGGAAAGGGGCCCAUUCUGAAUCAUGCUGGGCGGGGCAGGAGGAGACCACCAGGGCCCCCUAUUUACUGAGAGGCUGCAGUAGAGACAGCAUUGGGGGAGCACUGCCGAGGAGGUAGCAGAUCCAGCUUCAAGGAGUAUGCCACAAACAUUGCUGCUACCGUGGCAGUGGCUGCAGCAGCCAGUGAUGGCCUCCUUGAAGGCUUGAUCUGCUGCCCCUGUGGAUCCUCCCACCCAAGGUGGUUGCCUCACCUUAUCUCAGGGGUGGGCUGGCCCUGAGUUUUUAGAUGCAGCCAUGGGCACUGCAGCUUCCACACUUGUUACCUCUGGCCUUUCUCUCCCCACAGAACCCUGUCAAGGGGAGGGAUGGUCCAUUCCUUUGGUCAUGGGAGAGUUGGCAGGCUUAGGGUUACAGUCAAAUAAGAUGUGACAUGAUAACUCCAUCAAGUUUAAACGUGGGCUUAAUUUAUUGAGUGGCGUCCAAUUUUUAAAUCAACAGGUGUGCACAGUUGAGGAAGAGCAGGUCCAUAAUUUUGAGAUCCUCCAGGAUCCCCUGCUGUCUUCUGAGGCAUAGGUAGCCUCAGUCAUGUGGAGUAACCUCAUGAUUAAAUUAUUGUAAUGUGGGGCUAACUUUGAAGACUUUUCAGGAACUACAGCUAGUGGCAGAAUAUGACUGCCUUAUUGCUGACAAGCUCAAUGCAAGCUGAUCAUAUAACACCGAUCCUGGCACAGCUACGCUGGUGGCCUAUACAUUUCCAAGCUCAUUCAACAUGCUGGUAUUGACCUAUAAAGCUCUGUACAACUCAUAACCACAAUAUCUUUUCAAGCAUCUCUCCUGCUGUAAACCUACCUGGGCAUUUUGGUCUUAAUCUGAGAUUCUCCCCUGAGGAACGUCAACAAGGAGGAAGGCAUUUUCAGCUAAGGUUCCUCCAUGGUGGAAUGCUUUCCCUUGGGAGGCUUGCCUAGCAUCAUCAUUAACAUCAUUUUUGGUGCCAGGUAAAAUCUACAGUAUGAUUGCUUCUUAAGCACAUUUAACUUGUACACUUCCACCUAUAUUUGAAAUCUGACUGGUUGAAAUUCUGCAAUUUAUAUGUGGCAGUGUCAUGCAGAGAGAGCCUUUGCUUGAGAAGCAAGGCAAGACCGUUUAAAAACUCUCUGCACCAGAUUUUCCCAGCACAAAAAGAGCUAUUAAGCUCUAUCUUGCUUUCUGAGCAAGGUUCUCUUUUCUUGCUUGGCCUGGAAUGCUCCUGUGAGAUAUUUGAGGAACUUGCGUGUUCCCGUGAGAUCUUGUGAGAACAUUCUGUGGUUUAUGGAGGUGGCAUACUGGUUCCGGAAGCCCUGGGAUGCCCCCGGGGAUUGCUUCCAAAGGUUUGAGUACACAUGGAACCAUUAGAAGCAAACCCUGUGUAAGAUACGGUCAUACUGUAUUUGAUGGAUUAUAUAAACUGUUCUCUUGUUUAUUAAUGAAACGUUUUCUGCAGCUUACAUUUUCUUCCGUCUUCUGGGUUUGUUUUGUAGGUUUUCUAAUGGUUUUAUUGUAAGGCAUUGUCUGGUUUUAUGCAAUGCCUUUGGCUUUUAUUUUCUGGGUAAGUUGUGUAGAGACUUUUAAAAAUAUAUUUAAAUGACUAACAGUUUAAAUAAAUAAUGUUGUGGUCUCCCCCAUUGUAUCUCCUUGCAGCUUCUCUGUCCAGACACUCUUCCCAGUAAGAGUUACUGGAAGUAAUGUAUUGUGCUCUAUAGACCCUUUUAUCUCUCCACCUUAUGCAGACCAUAUCUCAGGAUCUGCUCUUAACUUGCUGGUUUCACCAACAUUUUCUAAUUGCAGUGGUACCUCAACAUCCGAAUGACUCGACUUCCGAAGGUUUCGACUUCUGAAGUCGGCAAACCUGGAAGUUUUGUCGCUGUGCGCUCUGCGCAUGUGCAGAAGCACAACAUCGUGCUUCGCGCAUGCACAGAACAGGGGCUUCGACAACCGGAGACUUCAACUUACGAAGACAGCCGUGGAACGGAUCGUCUUCGUAAGUCGAGGUACCACUGUAGAUCAUCAGCAAGUCAGUCUUGUAGAUGGCUGCAUUACUUUCUCAAUGUAGAGCUUUGGCCAAAAUUGAAUAAGGGUUUUGAGAAGCAUACUUUUUCUUAGUGCCUUUGUUAGAUUCGGUUGUUGUUACUUCUUACUAUAUAUGUGCCUUAGAUUAAUCAUAGAAUAAUAUAGUGCUGAAGCUGCCACACACACACACACACACACACACACACACACACACACACACACACACACUACUGGAAAUAAUUGAGCAAGAGGGAUUUCUGGACCCCCUCCCCCCAUAACUUAUCUCCUUACUCCUUUUGCCCUGCAAAAUUUUGUAGGUGACAACUCAGUUUAGCCCUUACAGCAAUAAUAAUAUGUGUCACAAGGCACGAAAGGCAAGGAGAUAACUUGUGUAUCUCUAAGCGAAACUAUGAAAAAGACGAAACUCGGGAAUAUAAAGGACAAAUAAAAAAGCAAGGUCUUUUGGAAUGAAAAGUGUAGUAGCAAUCUGAAUAACUUUUUCUCUGUUGUGGCUGUGAAAUUGUUUCAAUGUCAGCUUGUAUGGGGAAAAACUUUAUUCUGUAUGAUUGCAAAUUAUUAUAAAAGAGAAAGAUAUAGAAGGAACAGGAAAGAGAGUGAACAACCAAUGCAGUAAGCUAAAUAGGAAAUCAUAUGUGAAUGUGAUGUUUGUUCAAGGUAUAAAAUUAUUACUUUCAUAAGAAAUGAGUUUUCAAUACAGAUUUAUUAUGUAGUCUAGGUGUGUGUUGAAUGUUAAAAAGGUUUCUGCUGGGCACACAGUCCAUCACUGGGAAGUGUUUAAACAAAGAAACACCCCACGAAUAGGUUUUUAAAGAAAUCUUUCAGUUGCAAUUGAAUAGCUAAGGCUUCUGGCUGCUUACUAAGAGAAAACAUCAACCCCUUUUAAAAGGCCCAUCAAGUCUCACAGUGAAAUUUAAGAUGGCAAGGAGUAAAGGUCUGCUGUGAGGCACCAGUUAUUUUUAUACUUUGUGAUGGUCCACUGACUCCAGAGAGCACAGGAUUAGUAACAAAGGAAUUUCUGGACUUCAGCUAUUUGAGGACAUUGGGGGUUUGUGCAGUUCUGAAGUUUUAAUUAUUCCCUGCAAUAAUUUGUUAUGAAAAUGGCAGUGAUAACUUCAUAGGAAGUAAGUUCCCCCUCCCCUACUUUUGUUUCCAAUAAAAAUGGACUUUACACAAAAACAAGGUGGGGAUAGAUUUGCAAUGAAGGGAAUGGGGAUGAAUCAAGAGAGACAAAAGUAUGUUAGGAAGAACAAUAAUAUGAAUUAACAGGGAUGCGGGUGGCGCUAUGGUCUAAACCACUGAGCCUAGGGCUUGCCGAUCAGAAGGUCGGCGGUUUGAAUCCCCAUGACGGGGUGAGCUCCCAUUGUUCGGCCCCUGCUCCUGCCAACCUAGCAGUUCGAAAGCACGUCAAAGUGCAAGUAGAUAAAUAGGUACCACUACAGUGGGAAGAUAAACAGCGUUUCUGUGUGCUGCUCUGGUUCGCCAGAAGCGGAUUAAUCAUGCUGGCCACAUGACCCGGAAAAACGUCUGCUCCCUCGGCCUAUAGAGCAAGAUGAGCGCCACAACCACAGAGUCGUCCACGACUGGACCUAAUGGUCAUGGGUACCUUUACCUUUAUCUUUACUAUGGGAGAGUGCUCUUGUGCUCAGGUCCUUCUUUCAAGCUUCCCAUAGACAUAUCGUUGGCCACUGUAAGAACAGGAUGCUGGACUAGAUGGGACUUUGGCCUGAUCCAGUAGAAUGCUUACGUUGUUCUCGUAUAUUUUCAGUGUACCUUUUCAGUGACUCAUAGUAUUUUUAUUGGCCCAUCUUUGAAGCACUACAUUGACACAGGCCCUUAAAAUAAUAAUAAUUUAUUAUUAUUUAUUCAUUUUAUACACUGCUCUAUACCCGGAGGUCUCAGGGCGGUUCACAAACAAGACCGCAACAUAUAAAAUAAAACCAAAAACAAUAAUCCGAUUCCCCCCCCCCAAAAAAAGAGCCGCAUUCUAAAAGGGUGUUGGAUGGCAAUAAGAUCAACCAAGGGCUUGGUUAAAAAGGAACAUUUUUGCCUGGUGCCUAAAGGUGUAUAAUGAAGGUGCCAGGCGAACUUCCCUGGGGAGAGCAAUCCAUAGACAGAGAGCCACUGCAGAGAAGGCCCGUUCUCAUGUUGCCGCCCUCCGGACCUUUCAAGGAGGCGGCACAUGAAGGAGGGCCUUGGAAGAUGAUCUCAGGGUCUGGGUAGGUUCAUAUGGGAAGAGGCGGUCCUUGAGGUAUUGUGGUCCUUCCUUCCUUCCUGCCUGCUGGCCUGCCUGCCUACCUGCUUUCCGUCUUCCUUUUGUCAAAAGACCACAGGGCUGGUUACAGCAUAGAACACCAAUGUCAACGCCAUACCAUUCUAUCUAUACAACGUAAAAAAAUCAAAGCAAUUAUAUCAAUACAGGUUAUAAUAAUAAAUGCAUAAUAAAAUAUCAUAGUGGUGAUAUAAAAUAUCACAUGGUGGAGGGGUUUGAUGGUCAUGGUUUUCUAAUCCCAAACAUGUAAUCAUCAAUUUGCUGAGCACUGGUGAGAGGAUGAGCGCUGAGACUGUAUAUAACAGUGCAUUUGCUUUAAAGUGAGAUAUGGCAUUUCAAGAACUGUACAUUUCCAAUACAGGCCAUGGGCAUCGUUUAGAGGAGAUGUCAAUACAUGAGACAUUCUAGGCCAAGUGCAACCUAAGGCAGCAGGCAGCUGACCCACUGAACACCCGAGAACAUGCAUAUAAUCUUUCCCUGUUUCAGAAGCCAUAGCCUCUAUGCCAUCAUGAAUCCUGUUUUGUAAAAAGAAGUGAAUUGGGAAAAUUUUGCAGGUGGCUAUCCGCUGCAUCACUUUCUACUGCAAACCCAGAAGUGAUUGGGAAGAUGAAAAUAGCUGCUAGAACAAUAUUCACAUCAGCAGCAGUGUUUCUCCAUGCCCUGUUGGAAUAGGAUUCACAAGCAAGCUGCUGGUCACAAGAAAGAAAUGACAAGAAAAGAAAGAUAUAGUGUAGUGGUACAAAGAGCGAGGCAUGUGAUUCCGUUGUAAUUACAGUGUUGAAAAAACUUCACAUACAAUGCAUUAUCCCAUUUCAGUCCUUACAGUUAAGUUAGAACUCUUAUUGAAGGGUCUUCUACAAUUAAUAAUAACAAUAACAAUAUCCCUUUAAGGCCAGUCAGCAUUAUUACCCACAAACUGCAGGUUGAGGAGCUGAGGCUCUGGGGGGAGGAGGGAGUGCUUUGCCUGUGCCUACCUAGUGAGAUAAUGGAAGAAGUGUGAUUUGAACCAGAGGUUUCCUAAUCUGCAGCUCACUGUCUUUCAUGCUAAAUUGCAUCAACACAGAGGAGGAGACCACUGAGGUGCUGGUUUUACAAAUCCUUGUCAUUCCAAUAUAGAUGAUGGUUAGCUCAAAUAGGUUCCGUUUUCCAGUGGGAACAUAAAACAUUCAACCAGAAUUAGCCCCCUUCAUGUGUUCUGUGCCCAAAGAGAGCUCUCCCAAAGAAUGCUUCUGACACUGAUCUUGCUGCCAUCUCCAGACUGCUCCUGAUGUCCACAUGUUGAGCUUAGACAUCUGGAAAAUCAUGCAGAGCUACGUGGAUGUGGUUACCCCUCUUCAGAUGACAUUGUACAAUACAUUUUUGCCAAAGAGUACAAGCUUGCUUCCAUUUCACCCCCCCUCCUCUGGGAUCACCUUGGCUCAAAAGGCUCCAUUUUGAGAUGGAAGUGUCCCGCCCUCUACCCACUGUCCUGGGAACUGCUGGAAGGACCAAUGCUUAAUCUUACUCCACUUCCUACCGUAGUACAAUCAGGACAAGACUGGGAGCGGAUUCACCUUGUGUGUCCUGUCGGCAAAGACACCCACUUGCAUAAUGGGGCUCCCCUCCCUCACAUACAACCCAAAAUUGACUUGGGGGGGGUGUCAGAUAAGCCCCUAGAAGAGUGCACAUUUGGAGGAGAUGGGGAAUUGUUUUGUUUUGCAAGCUGAAAUGCUUGCAACGACAGAAUGUUCAAAAAAGUGCAGCAUUGAAUUCAUGACUAUAUCACUUAUCCAUUGGCUAUUGAGAGCCCCUGAAUUUUUGUGUGACCGCUCAGGUCGUACUGUAACACCCCCACCUAGGGUGAAACACAUCCCUUUGUCAUGUUGAAAAAGAUCACCAUUGUCUCUUUUGUUCACCUGGAAAUCACCCUUCCAAGGACACCCCAGUCUUCUUGUGCUUGGCUUUUAAGACUAACUGAUUUUAGAUCCUCAAAAUCAGGGUGAUUUCAAGAGUAGCCCUGCUUGUAGCAUUCCUGGCUAGCUUUUGAAAUGCCUUUAUUAGGCUGCCCAUCUCUGCACCGCCUGCUGCAGCAACUGUUGUCCAGGAAAGGCUUGCUGCAGUAGAGGAAAGCCUGUUCUUUCCACCUCCUUGGAGAUACCCUGAUACUAAGGACACUUGCUUCCCUUUAAUGAAGGAGAGGUUUAACUCUCCCUCUUACCAACUUUCCAGCCUCUUAUAGUUCAGCUGUCCUUCAUCGGAGUGUUGCGCCUCCCUUCUUGACAGUUGAGGGUUAGUGUGACAGCCAUUCUGCCCAAUUCUUAGACAGUGUGGACUUCAGCUGAGUUGCUCCUUCGGAGGGUUGAGGAGAACUCUAGAGUGACUUUUGGAGGCCCCCCUUUUCACCGGCUUUAUAGUGUCUACUUUGUCAUUUUAAUUGGCUGAUCUGUUUUUUUUUUUUGUCAUAGCUGGCAGCAAGUACAGACAGGUGGCAUCAGGUUGAUCAAGUUGCAAUUGCAGGCACCUGGCAACAUCUCUCUCUGUGUUAGUCACUGACGUCCCUCAUUGCCAGAUAGUUCAGGAUGUAGAGAUGACAGCCCCUUUGGUGCUACACGGCCGUGUACAUGUCAUACAUUUAAAGUGCACCCCCCCAAAAGCAUCCUGGGAACUGUAGUUUGUUAAGCAUGCUGGAAACUUUAGCUCUGUGAGGGGUAAACUAUGGUCCCCAGGAUUCUGGGGUUUGUGUGUGCUUUAAAUGUUUGCAGCCCUGAGGCCAGGGGUGUCAAGUCUCUGAGGAUGUGUGUUCGUGUGUGUGGGGGAGGGGUUCCUACUCGCACUUUGUGCAUGUUUUGCUGACUGUUGCAGAUCCUGGUUUGAGCCUUGACACCCCUGGCCUCAUUCCUUGCUCUCUCAUCCAUUGUAAUCUGCUGCAAGAGACAUAACUGGGGUUCCUCUUCCGUGAAAAAGGAUUCCCUCAGUGUUUGCCAGGCCUUCCUGUUCGACUUGGCUUUUAUUUUUAUGCUCUCAUUGUUUAACUUGUGCUUUAUUGGAUUUGUAAUUAUGUUUUAUAAUGCUGGGUAAUCCACUUUGGAUUGUACAAUAAAUAAAUAAACGACUGGCACCAGAAUGCAUUUCUGACAAACUCUGUAAAGUUACAUUUAAAUAGCAUAUUUUGGAAGAAAAUGCAAGUAGCGAAAAGACAUAUUUCAUAUUCUUGUUCUUAGUAACUUUUGUUUUCUAGUGCUCUCUCUUGGGACAGAGAACUGUGCUUUCUCCUGUAGUGAAGGAAGCGGGUCCUGUGUGAGUUUUCACUGCGCACCUCUCCAAUGGUAGGAAGUCAAACUUUUGUGAGGGUGUACUUGGUGAGCAGGACCACCCCAUUGCCAGCUCAACUUCCUGCCAGCCCCACUGCAGGUUGCUCUUGCCGGCAGCUCUAGGCAUGGCAAAAGAGGAAAAAAAGGGAAAACCCUCUCCCUUCCCAGGGCUGCCAGCUCGGAGAAUGGAGGCAUGUCAGGCUGCAGUUGUGCAGGAAGACCAAGCGGUCCCUUGGGUGGUGGUUUUCCAGGGCUGUAGAGAGGGAGCACUCAUUCAGGGAGCAGCUACGAGUGCCGAUAACCACGAACACGAGCCUCUCGGGUUGGGGAGCCCACACAGAAAAUCAGUAUGCCCAAGGGAUCUGGUCCAUGGUGGAAGCCAGUCAACCCAUAAAUUGGUUGGAUCUCAGAGUGGUCAGACUGGCUUUCCUCCACUUGGAGAGACUGGUGGAGGGCAAGCAUGUGAUGAUCUGUUCCGACAACAUUGCUACCAAGGCAUAAAGAUUUAUCUUAUCUUAUAUAUAUGCAAGGAGUACAUGCUUCAUUACAGGGGCCAUUAGGGCCUCUUGGGACUGGGCCCCAGGGAACAGAGUGGUAUAUCCCACUGUGGGACUGCUGAGUUCUUUUCUCCUAACAAGUUGUGUCUCUUUUCCUCCCUGUUCUGUUAUUUAAAGGGACCCCUGACCAUUUGGUCCAGUUGUGACCGACUCUGGGGUUGUGGCGCUCAUCUCGCGUUAUUGGCCGAGGGAGCCGGCGUACAGCUUCCAGGUCAUGUGGCCAGCAUGACAAAGCUGCUUCUGGCGAACCAGAGCAGCACACGGAAACGUCGUUUACCUUCCUGCUUGGAGCAGUACGUAUUUAUCUACUUGCACUUUGACGUGCUUUCGAACUGCUAGGUUGGCAGCAGCUGGGACCAAGGAACGGGAGCUCACCCCGUCGCGGGGAUUCAAACCACCGACCUUCUGAUCGGCAACCCCUAGGCUCUGUGGUUUAACCCACAGCGCCACCUGUGUCCCUCACGUUCUGUUGUUUAUUUUUGGGCUAUUCAGUUACUCGCUUAAGCACAAAUUGAACCAGUGAGGGGGUUGCCCUGCUCACCAGGUAUACUCUCUCAAAAGUUUGACUUCUGGCCAGUGGAGAGGUGGGCAGUGAUAAGCCACACAAGAUUCCCUUCCUACAGAGAAGGAACAUACCACAUUCACAUCUGUGAUAUAUUAAAAUUGUACAUUCUUUUGGGUGGUUCUUUUAUUGAUACAAAUCUGAAAAGGAAUAGAUCUAUAUGGCUAAAGUUUAUAAUUGAUUGAGAGACUGGCUCUGCCUUCUGUCUUUUAAGUGUUUAUAAUUAAAACUUGGGUUUUAAAAUUCUUCUUAAACGUGCAAUAUUACGGCAUUUGUCAGUGCAUAUUAUUUACCAACUUUCUCUAAUACUAUUCUGACAUCUUAUUCUGUGAACGUUGGUGACAGAUGGUUUGGCCACACUUUUAACAUAAGUAAUGGCAUUGUGCCACUAGCUAUUAAUUAACAUUUGAACCUGAAAUACAAAGUAAAAGUAGCAUGAAAAUAAGUGCGUUAAAGGGAAUAAGUAAGUAAGUUAUAGAGAAUACUGUACACUCUAACUUGCUGAUUUGCAUCUUUAGUGUACAGGAAGGAUACUAUAAGACUUCACUAAUUCUUAAAUUAUCAAUUUGAGUGAAUGUUUUGUCUCAAAGCAAGAUAAGUACUAUUUUAGCAUUGUAAAGUAAAACUGCUGUGUGUUCGAAUCUGCCUUCAGAACUUCCUUUAUUUAACAUACCAUGAUAUCAUCACCAAAAGACUGGCCAUGAUCCAGAGGGAAUGAGGUGUGUACUGUGCAUCUGAUUUUGGAGGAGGUGACUAGAUACAUGCACCAAAAUCAUUUCCCUUUAGAAAUGUCCAAACUUCUAAUUAUUAAAACAAAAUGGUUAUAUAGGGAUAUUUUGGGGGCGGGGGGCGGGGGAGGAAUCUUUCCUGUUGAACAGAGUUUUACAUAUCACUAUUUCUGUGUUAGGCACAGCAGUUGCUAUGGUAAUGGUUCUUUGAAAUACGUUGUGCAACAAUAACUUGCAUUGACCACCUCCUUAUAUAUUAAGAGCAUUCAAGGAUGAUUCUGCUGGGUUUUUUCUUUCUUUUAGGGUUUCUGUCUCUCAUUAAAAACCCUUAAUACUGUGCAGCAUAUAACUGAGGGUCUGGUUUUUUCAGCCCCUUGCCCCUUGCGUAGAAUUGCCAGGGGCCAUAUGUUUAAUGUGUUUUUCUUGUAUCAUAUCCUUCCUGUUAUCAAAGCUUGGAGCCAGUAAAUAUAACCCAAGUUAUCCACCAUUCAGAUACUGCCUAAGCCUGCUUAGCAUCACAAAUGGAACUACAUCUUGGUGAGCUGAUAUAGCAGGUGGCUGAUAAAGUGAAAUGGUUCAUAUGUCACCUCAACAUCAAACUCAAUGGUGGUUUUAGCUAAUCUGUUACUCUCUUGUGCUCAGCCCAGUUUUACCUGACCAUUAUAGAGAUUACUAAGAUAACAUAUGUGAAGCACCUGGAAGACAUGGAAUGCAUGGUAUCUGAAAUAGCUUGUUAUUUAUUUAUUCCUUUGGACCAAGUUAUCCUGAAUAGAGAAGCACACUGCUAUAGGAGAAGCUCUUUAAAGCCAAAGAGUUAGAGUUUGGAGUAAAAGGGUGCUACAGCUUUAAAGUACAAGGUCUGGCACUCAAACUGGGAAAACUUAGCAUGUAUUCUCAAUUAAUGUAUAGCAAUUGACUGGCUGAAUGAUGUUAAUAAAUUCCAGUAAUAUGUCACAACCCUGCUAAUGAAGCUAAAUAACCUUUUUGUUGUAGUAUUUCAAAUCCCUUUCUAGUUUCUCUUGAUGUGUUUAGCUUUGAUCUUCAGAACUCUCCCGCUAAGAAACAAAUUUAUAUUACAUGAAGUAUGCUCAGGUGUCUAUAUUCCUUGUCACCUUACACGGCUUCAUUUUCUGACUUCAAAUUUCUCCUCAGAACCCACCUAUUGCACGAUUCCUUUCGCUUAACCACUUAGUCGUUUCCAGCUACAGUCAAGUUUUAAGUGCAGUAUGUCAAUGUACUGAACUGCAUUUUAACUGCAUCUUUGUUCACAUCCAACCAUUAUUACCCUUGUAGUUCCCUCUCCCUCCUGUUUAUUUGUCAAAUUUCUAUGCUGCAACUUAGUCAAAAAGGUAAGCAUGAUAGCUCACAACAUCUAAAAGAAUGCAUUGUGGGAUUUUGAUUUUUGCCUGCCUGACAAGGGACCAAAAAACCAGUCAAAAUUAUUGAUUCAGCACUAUCUAAAGAUCACCUGUUCUUCUGUUCUCAGAAUUUCAUUUGUGUAGCAUUUUCUAUUGAGUUACAGCCUUUGAAUGGAAAGUAUAUAGCUCUAUAAUAUUCUGCAUUUAUUAGAAUGUGCCAAUUGCCUUGAGAACAGAUUAGUUUUCUGAGAAUUUAUUUUUCCUGUCAGAAACUGUCAUGACAAUUUUUGAAUGAGAAAUUUAAACCCACAUGGGUAUCUAAGCUUGAUUCCUCUAGCAAAGAUAAAGAUAUUCAGGAACAUAUAGCAAAGAAGAAGACAUUCAUUCAUAAAUGAAUAGGCCCUAUUUGGGCACAUAAAAGCUUCAACAGAGAGAGACUGUGCAUGCUAGGCCUGCCCUUGGGGUGUUUCCCAACAUGAAAUGAUUCUGCUUCAUACCUUGAUGCAUUUAGCCCAAGGUUCUGAAGGGGGCUUUUAUUGCAUGUCCGUAUGUUGAAGCCUUCUUGCAACUGGAAACAUCAUGGAUGGCACUGGGUUCCUGAUCACUGGGAACUAUUUAAUUGUGUUUAACCAAAUGUAUUUUGUACUGAUUGCAUUAAGUUCUGAGGAGGAGACCGACCACCACCACACACGGACAUUGGGGCUGAGCUUGCAUGCAUGCCCCCCCCCCACUUCCUGCUCAGUUCCUUGUGUGUCAAGUCAAAUGCCUGAACAGGGCUAUUGACAAAACAGAAAAUAGUAAUUUGGAUAUAUAUUUUUAUUGAUUUUCCAAUAUUGUUCCAAUAGCAGCCUCAUUAUAACAAUACCAAUUUUAUCCAAUUAAUACAAUUAUUAAUGCCAGUUAUUCAAAUGCUAUUAUCUCAGAGUUUCCAAAAGUCACUGCAUCACUUUGUACCUUGAUUUCGCUUCCAGUAAACAAGCUGUCUUCACCAUUUUUCCAGCCUAGGAAGAACAGUCUGAAUCUAGAUUGCAGAUAGCCAAUCCAAAAACUUCUAUUCCUGCAGCUGGUAGAUCCUUUCCCUCCCUGCCGCUGCUUUAUGGCCAAUUAUCCUUAUUUCAACCACAUUUCUUUGCGGAUAACGGAGGUUAGGGAGGAUUUUGCUCUAUGUUUUCAAAGCAUAGUGUCCCCCCCCCACUCCCUCUCAGUUCCUUUCUCUCACACACGCAAUUCCAAUUUUGUUGCAUUCCAUAUUAUAUCCCAUUUUCUUCCAUCCUCACUUGUGCAGAUUUUUUUUUUAAUAAACCUUGCAUUCUGGGGAAGGUUGCUGUAUCAUAAAUGUAGGGAAAAACUUUAAAUAAGAAAAUCAUGGACUUCCCUACCCCCCAUUAUCUCUUUUAUCGAAUGAAAUCUGCUCUCAGUCCAAAUCUUUUACAUCCUUGUAGCUGGAUUGUUUCUUAUCUCUUUGUCUCUGGCACGUGCCUGUAGUUUACUCCAAUUAGUCCAAUUAUCAGGUUAACCUUUGUUUCCAGGAAUGGGAUCAGGGCGGGGGAAUGGCAGCCGGAGUGCUCUGUGCACCCAGUGCCUUUGCCUGCCCUCACAUUCCAUGGGGAAGCGAGUGCCAGACUGCCAGGCAAACUGUGAGUGAGAGCCUGGUUCCUCUUCCAACUGAAGAGGAAUGUAGAUAAUGAAUUUCCUCCAUCAUUAUCUGAUCAUCUCUGUCUGUCUCUCUCCUGUGGUGUUGGGAGAGACUCCAUUCCUGGCGCACCAGAAACAGGAAGCCCCCCCCCUUUUUUAAAGAUAUAUUUUUUAUUAAUCUUCCAAUAUCUAGCAAAGAGUAAUUGGGAGCAGAUGAAGGCAGCAACAAUAUCAAGCACCAGAGGGUUUUUCUUUUGCAGGGAUGGGUAGACUGGAUGUCAUAACCUGACUCAUUUUGAUAGUUCAGUUCUGUACACUGGUGUGCCAUUCAAGAAAGAUGGAGAUACUGCCAAUUCAUUAAAGAAUUACAGUGUUAGUUACUGGAUUGGCUGCUGAUUUCUAACAUUAGCUUAUAACAAAUUCAAAUAUUGCAAGUCUUAUUUGUUAUCUGGGUGUAGGGUGGGAAUCAAAAAUUUUGAGAACACCACUUGCAGACACGGAAGCAGAUAUUUUCUAAGCUCACAUCUUAAAGCAGGGUUAGACUAGGACACAUCAUGCAGCAUUAUCUAACAUUACACAAUGCACCCAUCAAAUUGCAUCACCGUUGAAACAAACAUUGUUCUCAAUUGGCCUUCCCCUUAUUCGGCAAUAGCUAAGUAAAUGCAAUUGUUGCAAUUGCACAUGACAGUAAGAAGAGGCUGACUAUCCAUUCCCAGAUCAAAGUAGUAUAAAGUUGCUAUCAGUUCUAAAUUCCUUGCUUCAUAUUUCUGGUUCUUUCUCUAGAACAUGUAUAAAACAUCUCAAUCUGUUGACUGAACUUCUUAGUAUUUUUCUGAAGGCUGAAUUGUGUACAGAUUAAUUUAACUCCACCCUUUCUUGAGCUUUCAAUGCAUGAAACUGAAAUAACUGUGCAAGAUAAUAAGGGACUAUAAUGGCAUAUGGGAACUAAUUACUCUGUACAGCCAUACCUUGGGUUACAGCUGCAGGUUGUGUCUUUUCAGGUUGUGCUCCGCGCCAAACCCGAAAGUACCAGAAUGGGUUACUUCCAGGUUUCGGCAUGCACCCAUGCGCAGAAGCACCAAAUCAGGCUUUGCGCAUGCGCAGAAGACCGAAUCACAACCCACACAUGUGUGGGUUGCGAACGCUGUGGGUUGCGAAUGUGCCUCCCGCAUGGAUCACGUUCGCAACCCGAGCAUCCACUGUAUUAAAUUUUUUAAUAUGGUGACCCAUCAUUUUUCUAUGUCUGCUCUAAUGCGUUUGAUGCUCUAAUCCAGGCCUACAGAAUUUAUGACUAACCGUGCUAAUCACACUCCAUCAAUCACACAUUUUGGCUAGUUGAUUGCUUGGCAGUCCCCCUGUUUCGAAUCCAGGCAGGCAUUUACUGAACACCUGAUCGCUACAUGGCUGGAUGAUUGCAUUUGACUUGAUGUGUGUGUGUCAUGAGUUUUUCACACCUACCCUAACCCUGUUGCUUCACUGAUGAGAUGAAUGGGAGAUAUAUCCACUAGAUGAAAGUUAAAACAUGACACCACUAAGUCUAAACUAAGAAGGUUUAAUUGAAAUCUACCCAAGGGUUUGGAGGGGGAGAGAAGCAAAUAGUAGAUGUUCAUAGAUUGUCGUGGAAGAUAAAGACCACUACCAGCAUUUUCAAAGAUAGGCUUUGGUUGGCCAGGUGGGAAAAGGGCUUGGGCUCCUGCACCUUUAACAGCUGUGGUGAAGAAUGAAUUUCAGCAAGUGCCGUUUGUCAUAUUUAGUUAACAGGUGCAGCUGUCGACUUUUGCAUCUGGCUACCCUAGGCAGGGAAAAGAAAACCAAGGCUGAGAAUAAUUAAGGGCAGAAGAAACUCAGAAGGAGUAGGGUUAAAGAAGGAGAAAAAGCAGGAGAAGGAAAGGUAGGUUCAAAUAUAGAACAUAGGCAUGCCUAGCCACAGAACUCUACUCAAGCUGUUGGCUGGGCUCCUGGGAAACUGAGGUCUGAAAUCAGUGCAGACAAAUUAGUCCCAGCUGAGCCAGCAGGGUGGGACUGGAACAUGAUUCCUAAAACAGAUACCAUGUGAUGAUAAAAAUUAUAGGCUGCCAUUCACACUUAAUUUGAUUUCAGUGGAUUGAGUCUCCUUAAAUAGAACAACUCUUUUUAAAAUGUUUGAUGCAUCAGGUUGAUUAGGAAUAGUAAGCAAUAGCUGCUUAAGAAAAGGCUGCUAUAUAAUAUGUUAAUUGACAUGAUUGAUGGUCCUGCAUCAUUUUAUUGCUUAUCCAGUACAUUUGCUGUUAUUUUCUGUGCUGCUUUUAUCUGUUUGCCAUAUUGUGUGCAUUACCUUGAGAAAUAUAUGUGGAAGGUAAUACAGUAUUAUCAUUCAGUAACCCAAUCCUUGGGUAAAAUUUGCACUUCUGGUUUUGCUUUGGUAGAUGUGAUCAAACCUCACACUGAGCCACCUUAAAAAAAAAAAAAGAACGACAAGAGGCUUAUUUAAAUAAACAAACUAGCAUUUUGAGCAUAGAU